rnacentral:tRNA from 1 species
AGAGGUGUAACUCAGUUGAGGAGAGUAUAUCCCUUACAAGGAUAAAGUUGCAGGCUCAAGUCCUGUCACCUCUACCA